UACGGAGGGGGCUAGCGUUGUUCGGAAUUACUGGGCGUAAAGCGCACGUAGGCGGCUUUGCAAGUUAGAGGUGAAAGCCCGGGGCUCAACCCCGGAAUUGCCUUUAAAACUGCAUCGCUAGAAUUGUGGAGAGGUAAGUGGAAUUCCGAGUGUAGAGGUGAAAUUCGUAGAUAUUCGGAAGAACACCAGUGGCGAAGGCGACUUACUGGACACAUAUUGACGCUGAGGUGCGAAAGCGUGGGGAGCAAACAGGG
rnacentral:rRNA from 1 species